rnacentral:misc_RNA from 1 species
AAGUCGUAACAAGGUUUCCGUAGGUGAACCUGCGGAAGGAUCAUUACCGAGCCCCGAGCGUCCUCCCCGUCAAGCGGGGGGACCUCAGCUCCACCCUCUGCGUACGAGCUUCGUUGCUUCGGCGGGGAAAGGCCUCUCGCCUCUCGAGGAGGGCCGGUCCCACCCGCCGGAGGAUCAAAACCCUGAAACCGGUGCGUCUGAGCGAACGUUCAAUGCGAACCUUAUGGAAAACUUUCAACAACGGAUCUCUUGGCUCUG